rnacentral:rRNA from 1 species
CCUACGGGUGGCAGCAGUGGGGAAUAUUGCACAAUGGAGGGAACUCUGAUGCAGCGACGCCGCGUGAGUGAAGACGUCUUUCGGUAUGUAAAGCUCUAUCAGUAGGGAAGAAAAUGACGGUACCUGACUAAGAAGCCCCGGCUAACUACGUGCCAGCAGCCGCGGUAAUACGUAGGCGGCAAGCGUAAUCCGGAUUUACUGGGUGUAAAGGGAGCGUAGACGGUUUUGCAAGUCUGAAGUGAAAGCCCAAGGCUCAACCAUGGGACUGCUUUUGAAACUGUAAAACUGGAGUGCAGGCGAGGUAAGCGGAAUUCGUGGUGUAGCGGUGAAAUGCGUAGAUAUUAGGAGGAACACCAGUGGCGAAGGCGGCUUACUGGACUGUAACUGACGUUGAGGCUCGAAGGCGUGGGGAGCAAACAGGAUUAGAUACCCUUGUAGUC